rnacentral:tRNA from 1 species
GCGCUCGAAGCUCAGCUGGAUAGAGUACCUGGCUACGAACCAGGCGGUCGGAGGUUCGAAUCCUCCCAGCCGCGCCA